CCUACGGGAGGCAGCAGUGGGGAAUAUUGCACAAUGGGCGAAAGCCUGAUGCAGCAACGCCGCGUGAAGGAAGACGGUUUUCGGAUUGUAAACUUCUGUUCUUAGUGAAGAAUAAUGACGGUAACUAAGGAGCAAGCCACGGCUAACUACGUGCCAGCAGCCGCGGUAAUACGUAGGUGGCAAGCGUUGUCCGGAAUUACUGGGUGUAAAGGGAGCGUAGGCGGGAAGCCAAGUCAGCUGUGAAAACUACGGGCUUAACCUGUAGACUGCAGUUGAAACUGGCUUUCUUGAGUGAAGUAGAGGUUGGCGGAAUUCCGAGUGUAGCGGUGAAAUGCGUAGAUAUUCGGAGGAACACCGGUGGCGAAGGCGGAUGACUGGACGGCAACUGACGGUGAGGCGCGAAAGCGUGGGGAGCAAACAGGAUUAGAUACCCCAGUAGUC
rnacentral:rRNA from 1 species